GAGGGGGGGUAAAGGAGAUGUUGUCAGAGUGUGAUGUUGCUAUACUAGUAAAGAGAGAGAGAGUGGAUAGAGAGAGAGUGGAGAGAGAGGGGGGUAAAGGAGAUGUUGUCAGAGUGUGAUGUUGCUAUACUAGUAAAGAGAGAGAGUGGAGAGAGAGAGAGUGGAGAGAGAGGGGGGGUAAAGGAGAUGUUGUCAGAGUGUGAUGUUGCUAUACUAGUAAAGAGAGAGAGUGGAGAGAGAGUGGAGAGAGAGGGGGGUAAAGGAGAUGUUGUCAGAGUGUGAUGUUGCUGUACUAGUAAAGAGAGAGAGAGUGGAGAGAGAGGGGGGGUAAAGGAGAUGUUGUCAGAGUGUGAUGUUGCUAUACUAGUAAAGAGAGAGAGAGGAUAGAGAGAGAGUGGAGAGAGAGGGGGGGUAAAGGAGAUGUUGUCAGAGUGUGAUGUUGCUAUACUAGUAAAGAGAGAGAGAGUGGAGAGAGAGAGAGUGGAGAGAGAGGGGGGGUAAAGGAGAUGUUGUCAGAGUGUGAUGUUGCUAUACUAGUAAAGAGAGAGAGUGGAGAGAGAGAGAGUGGAGAGAGAGAGGGGGGUAAAGGAGAUGUUGUCAGAGUGUGAUGUUGCUAUACUAGUAAAGAGAGAGAGAGUGGAGAGAGAGAGAGUGGAGAGAGAGGGGGGUAAAGGAGAUGUUGUCAGAGUGUGAUGUUGCUAUACUAGUAAAGAGAGAGAGUAGAGAGAGUGGAGAGAGAGGGGGGGUAAAGGAGAUGUUGUCAGAGUGUGAUGUUGCUGUACUAGUAAAGAGAGAGAGAGUGGAGAGAGAGGGGGGGUAAAGGAGAUGUUGUCAGAGUGUGAUGUUGCUGUACUAGUAAAGAGAGAGAGAGUGGAGAGAGAGAGAGUGGAGAGAGAGGGGGGUAAAGGAGAUGUUGUCAGAGUGUGAUGUUGCUAUACUAGUAAAGAGAGAGAGUGGAGAGAGAGAGAGUGGAGAGAGAGAGGGGGUAAAGGAGAUGUUGUCAGAGUGUGAUGUUGCUAUACUAGUAAAGAGAGAGAGAGUGGAGAGAGAGAGGGGGGUAAAGGAGAUGUUGUCAGAGUGUGAUGUUGCUAUACUAGUAAAGAGAGAGAGUGGAGAGAGAGAGAGUGGAGAGAGAGAGGGGGGGUAAAGGAGAUGUUGUCAGAGUGUGAUGUUGCUAUACUAGUAAAGAGAGAGAGAGUGGAGAGAGAGAGAGUGGAGAGAGAGGGGGGUAAAGGAGAUGUUGUCAGAGUGUGAUGUUGCUAUACUAGUAAAGAGAGAGAGUAGAGAGAGUGGAGAGAGAGGGGGGGUAAAGGAGAUGUUGUCAGAGUGUGAUGUUGCUGUACUAGUAAAGAGAGAGAGAGUGGAGAGAGAGGGGGGGUAAAGGAGAUGUUGUCAGAGUGUGAUGUUGCUGUACUAGUAAAGAGAGAGAGAGUGGAGAGAGAGAGAGUGGAGAGAGAGGGGGGGUAAAGGAGAUGUUGUCAGAGUGUGAUGUUGCUAUACUAGUAAAGAGAGAGAGUGGAGAGAGAGAGAGUGGAGAGAGAGAGGGGGGGUAAAGGAGAUGUUGUCAGAGUGUGAUGUUGCUAUACUAGUAAAGAGAGAGAGAGUGGAGAGAGAGAGGGGGGUAAAGGAGAUGUUGUCAGAGUGUGAUGUUGCUAUACUAGUAAAGAGAGAGAGUGGAGAGAGAGAGAGUGGAGAGAGAGGGGGGGUAAAGGAGAUGUUGUCAGAGUGUGAUGUUGCUAUACUAGUAAAGAGAGAGAGAGUGGAGAGAGAGAGAGUGGAGAGAGAGGGGGGGUAAAGGAGAUGUUGUCAGAGUGUGAUGUUGCUAUACUAGUAAAGAGAGAGAGUGAGAGAGAGAGAGAGUGGAGAGAGAGAGGGGGGGUAAAGGAGAUGUUGUCAGAGUGUGAUGUUGCUAUACUAGUAAAGAGAGAGAGUGGAGAGAGAGAGUGGAGAGAGAGGGGGGGGUAAAGGAGAUGUUGUCAGAGUGUGAUGUUGCUGUACUAGUAAAGAGAGAGAGAGUGGAGAGAGAGGGGGGGGUAAAGGAGAUGUUGUCAGAGUGUGAUGUUGCUAUACUAGUAAAGAGAGAGAGAGUGGAGAGAGAGAGAGUGGAGAGAGAGGGGGGUAAAGGAGAUGUUGUCAGAGUGUGAUGUUGCUGUACUAGUAAAGAGAGAGAGAGUGGAGAGAGAGAGUGGAGAGAGAGGGGGGUAAAGGAGAUGUUGUCAGAGUGUGAUGUUGCUGUAGUAGUAAAGAGAGAGAGAGUGGAGAGAGAGGGGGGGUAAAGGAGAUGUUGUCAGAGUGUGAUGUUGCUAUACUAGUAAAGAGAGAGAGAGUGGAGAGAGAGAGGGGGGUAAAGGAGAUGUUGUCAGAGUGUGAUGUUGCUAUACUAGUAAAGAGAGAGAGUGGAGAGAGAGAGAGUGGAGAGAGGGGGGGUAAAGGAGAUGUUGUCAGAGUGUGAUGUUGCUGUACUAGUAAAGAGAGAGAGAUUGGAGAGAGAGGGGGUAAAGGAGAUGUUGUCAGAGUGUGAUGUUGCUGUACUAGUAAAGAGAGAGAGAGUGGAGAGAGAGAGAGUGGAGAGAGAGGGGGGUAAAGGAGAUGUUGUCAGAGUGUGAUGUUGCUGUACUAGUAAAGAGAGAGAGAGUGGAGAGAGAGAGGAGAGGAGAGAGAGGGGGUAAAGGAGAUGUUGUCAGAGUGUGAUGUUGCUGUACUAGUAAAGAGAGAGAGAGUGGAGAGAGAGAGAGUGGAGAGAGAGGGGGGGUAAAGGAGAUGUUGUCAGUGUGAUGUUGCUGUACUAGUAAAGAGAGAGAGAUUGAGAGAGAGAGGGGGUAAAGGAGAUGUUGUCAGAGUGUGAUGUUGCUGUACUAGUAAAGAGAGAGAGAGUGGAGAGAGAGAGUGGAGAGAGAGGGGGGGUAAAGGAGAUGUUGUCAGAGUGUGAUGUUGCUGUACUAGUAAAAAGAGAGAGAGUGGAGAGAGAGAGUGGAGAGAGAGGGGGGGUAAAGGAGAUGUUGUCAGAGUGUGAUGUUGCUAUACUAGUAAAGAGAGAGAGGGGGGUAAAGGAGAUGUUGUCAGUGUGAUGUUGCUGUACUAGUAAAGAGAGAGAGAGAGUGGAGAGAGAGGGGGGUAAAGGAGAUGUUGUCAGAGUGUGAUGUUGCUGUACUAGUAAAGAGAGAGAGAGUGGAGAGAGAGGGGGGGUAAAGGAGAUGUUGUCAGAGUGUGAUGUUGCUAUACUAGUAAAGAGAGAGAGUGGAGAGAGAGAGAGUGGAGAGAGAGGGGGGGGUAAAGGAGAUGUUGUCAGAGUGUGAUGUUGCUAUACUAGUAAAGAGAGAGAGUGGAGAGAGAGAGAGUGGAGAGAGAGGGGGGGUAAAGGAGAUGUUGUCAGAGUGUGAUGUUGCUAUACUAGUAAAGAGAGAGAGAGUGGAGAGAGAGAGAGUGGAGAGAGAGGGGGGGUAAAGGAGAUGUUGUCAGAGUGUGAUGUUGCUAUACUAGUAAAGAGAGAGAGUGGAGAGAGAGAGAGAGUGGAGAGAGAGAGGGGGUAAAGGAGAUGUUGUCAGAGUGUGAUGUUGCUAUACUAGUAAAGAGAGAGAGUGGAGAGAGAGAGAGUGGAGAGAGAGGGGGGUAAAGGAGAUGUUGUCAGAGUGUGAUGUUGCUGUACUAGUAAAGAGAGAGAGAGUGGAGAGAGAGGGGGGGGUAAAGGAGAUGUUGUCAGAGUGUGAUGUCGCUGUACUAGUAAAGAGAGAGAGAGUGGAGAGAGAGAGAGUGGAGAGAGAGGGGGGUAAAGGAGAUGUUGUCAGAGUGUGAUGUUGCUGUACUAGUAAAGAGAGAGAGAGUGGAGAGAGAGAGUGGAGAGAGAGGGGGGGUAAAGGAGAUGUUGUCAGAGUGUGAUGUUGCUGUACUAGUAAAGAGAGAGAGAGUGGAGAGAGAGGGGGGGUAAAGGAGAUGUUGUCAGAGUGUGAUGUUGCUAUACUAGUAAAGAGAGAGAGAGUGGAGAGAGAGAGAGUGGAGAGAGAGAGGGGGGUAAAGGAGAUGUUGUCAGAGUGUGAUGUUGCUGUACUAGUAAAGAGAGAGAGAAGAGAGAGAGAGGGGGGGUAAAGGAGAUGUUGUCAGAGUGUGAUGUUGCUGUACUAGUAAAGAGAGAGAGAGGGGAGAGAGAGGGGGGGGAGAGAGAGGGGGGUAAAGGAGAUGUUGUCAGUGUGAUGUUGCUGUACUAGUAAAGAGAGAGAGUGGAGAGAGAGAGAGUGGAGAGAGAGGGGGGUAAAGGAGAUGUUGUCAGUGUGAUGUUGCUGUACUAGUAAAGAGAGAGAGUGGAGAGAGAGAGAGUGGAGAGAGAGAGGGGGGUAAAGGAGAUGUUGUCAGAGUGUGAUGUUGCUGUACUAGUAAAGAGAGAGAGAGUGGAGAGAGAGAGAGUGGAGAGAGAGAGGGGGGUAAAGGAGAUGUUGUCAGAGUGUGAUGUUGCUAUACUAGUAAAGAGAGAGAGUGGAGAGAGAGGGGGGGUGGAGAGAGAGAGGGGGGUAAAGGAGAUGUUGUCAGAGUGUGAUGUUGCUGUACUAGUAAAGAGAGAGAGUGGAGAGAGAGAGUGGAGAGAGAGGGGGGGGGGUAAAGGAGAUGUUGUCAGAGUGUGAUGUUGCUGUACUAGUAAAGAGAGAGAGAGUGGAGAGAGAGAGGGGGGUAAAGGAGAUGUUGUCAGAGUGUGAUGUCGCUGUACUAGUAAAGAGAGAGAGAGUGGAGAGAGAGAGUGGAGAGAGAGGGGGGGUAAAGGAGAUGUUGUCAGAGUGUGAUGUUGCUGUACUAGUAAAGAGAGAGAGAGUGGAGAGAGAGAGGGGGGUAAAGGAGAUGUUGUCAGAGUGUGAUGUUGCUGUACUAGUAAAGAGAGAGAGAGUGGAGAGAGAGAGGGGGUAAAGGAGAUGUUGUCAGAGUGUGAUGUUGCUGUACUAGUAAAGAGAGAGAGAGUGGAGAGAG
rnacentral:lncRNA from 1 species